UACGUAGGGUCCAAGCGUUAUCCGGAAUCACUGGGCGUAAAGCGUGCGUAGGUGGCGUGUUAAGUGUGAUGUUAAAUCGUGUGGCUCAACCAUAUCGAUGUGUCGCAUACUGGCAUGCUAGAGGACAGCAGAGGCAAGUGGAAUUAGUAGUGUAGCAGUGAAAUGCGUAGAUAUCUGGAGGAACACCGGUGGCGAAGGCGGCGUCCUGGACCAAUACUGACACUGAAACGCGAAAGCCAGGGGAGCAAACGGG
rnacentral:rRNA from 1 species